rnacentral:lncRNA from 1 species
AGCAAGCAAAAAACAAGUGGAUAAGGCUUAAUCUGACUGGGAGCUGAGUCAGCAAUGCCACCUUAAUUAAUCAAUCCAUAGUGGAUUUGGGGCACAUGUUAAACCUGAAACUCAUACUUCCAAAUGUGAAACGCGUUCAAGUUCAAUCUCUUCUCUGUUCCUCCCUCCGUCAUGCCACUAUUCUCGACGGUGGAGGCAUCACCAAAUCCUAAUUGAACACCUCAUUUGAAUCUAAAUUUCAUUAUGAAACCAAAUCCUACCAUGAAAACAUUUAUUCUAACAGAUAAGUCUGAAUCGAAGCCUACAACCGAAGAACCCUAGCUCGAAGAAUCAAAUUAAAUGACGCUCAUUUGGAAUCAAAUCCCCCGGGGUUAUGGCUUUGAUUCCCCUAACCUCUAAUCACAUCGUGGUAACAAGAAACAUAGAAAAUAAUGGAGGAAUAUGAGAACUUACCGGUGGAGUGCGCAUGAUAAUCAACAGAAAUCCAGGUAAAACUUCGAAUCUUCUUAUUUCAACGAUUACAUCUUCUUCUUCUUCUUCUUAUCGUAACUUCUUCAGAAAGAAAAUAUGCAAAAUGCCUCUUAUUUAAUGGACCCGUGGGAGAGAAAGAGAGAACGUGAGGCUUAGCUCUACUAUGUUGAAGCUUCAAGGUGAAACUUCAAUAAGUAUGUUGAAGGAGCUUUGAGUGAUUGUGUGAGAAUUGAGAGAGAAAAACUGAGAUCGUGAAAUGGUGAAUCUGAGAAUUUUCAAAAAUGAUGCGUGAAAAUCAUGAUUAUGGGAAAUGAAUGAUAUUUAUAGAGUUUCGAAUUCUGUUAGGAAAUGCAAUACAGAUUCAAAUGAAAUUCACUUUCGAUUAGAAAUUCAGAUGUUAGUUAAAGUGAAAUACAUGUGAAAUGAAAGUGAAAUGCAACUUUGUGAAACUCUGUUAUUGCAAUGCACGCGUGAAAUUCAGAUGAAAUGCCACUGUUAUUAUGGAUAGUCUCAUACUGGAUAAUAUCGGGCUACAGACAUAGCCCGUGAGGGGGGUAUUUAGACAUCUUUUGUAUAUCAUGGAUUUCGUAUAUUAUGUAUUAUUUGUAUUAUUUUUAUAUUAUUGAGACAUUUUCAUCAUAACUUUUUAUUACAUAAUAUUUUUGAUGGCACAACUUCAACAUUAACUGAAAUACAAAUGCAACAUCAACAUUAACUUAAGAAAACAAUAAUAAAUAUGAAAAACCUAAACACUACCUGAUGAUUCUGGACGUUUCAGCAUCUGCAUUAUAUCAUCAACAGAUCUUGAAAGUCUAGCAUCUAACUCGAUCGGUCCCUUUGUUAUCCUACGGCGAAAUGAUCUCCAUAUUUCCUUCACAUCUUCGUCGGUCUUCAACUCAAUAAGGCUGCAUUUCACCAUCCUGUCUAUAUUAAUCCAAUCUUCACAAAACACAAUCUUUCCCACCUUCCUGAUAUAAGUAUCAGGCAAUAAGUCAUCCAACUUGGACGUCAGGCUGGCGAGAGAUGUGGUGUCAUCCGGAAGUCGAAAUUCCACAGAAGGUGAAGUUCUGUUGAAGUACACUUCUGCUUUAAUCAAAAAUUAAGGAAGAGACAUUUUUUGAGAUGUUUUUAUCAAACAUGUGACCCACUGUUUAUACAACUUUACAUUUACUCUGAACCACACAAAAUUGUCGAUGUUAUCACAACCAUCCAAAAUUGUCGACAAAAUCCUGAACGUUUUAAAAAAAUAACUUUACCGGAAAUUUCAUUUAGGUUGAAAUUUCCGAUAACCACAUAUAAAUUUUAAAUUUCCGAAAAUUAAUGAAACAAAUCAGAAAUUUUGAAAUAUCAUGUAUAUCAAAAAAAAUUGUUAAACCUACCAGAAAUUUCAAUUGGAAUUUUCGUUCAACUUUUCAGUCAAGGACAGUUUAAGUACUAUAAAAAUAUGGGGAGGGCCAAAUUAAAUAGUCUUAACGUGGCUUAAAACUGUUUUUGGUGUGAGGAGUUUAGCCUUGUGAUGCUGCGUUUUCCUCUCUGUAUAUGCAGUUCCUCACAAGCUUCUUGUAUAUUGCUUUGUACUGGUAGGGCAUUUCUCAUGCCUGAGUUUUUUAAUGCAUCCAUUUUCUUUUGCUACUUAUAAAAAGCUAUAUCCAUUUAUUUUUUAGUAUCCGUAUUGAUUUUAUUAAUAAAUACAUUAAAAAUAGAAGUAGUACGUCUCAUAAAAACAAAAGCUACUACUACUAUAAACUAGUAGCAAACUUUCCCAGAGGUUAUGAUCCAGCAACUACUAAUAUGUAGAAACUAGUAGCAAAUUAGUAACAAAAACUACUAGUGAGAUGCAUCAAAUGAUUCACUUGUGUUCUCAGUUGAAAAACUCUUAUCUUCUUAUCAGAAUCUUUGGCUUCUAACAAAAUCUAUGUGUGGAAGCCUUAGUCAAAAAAUUAGCAGCAUGAUUUUGCUCCAAACUAAACUCUUAGUGCACCAACACAUUUGAUUAAACAAAACAUCAAAAUUAAUGCAGAAUUAUAUAGUUUAACAUUAAAUCAGAAAGAAAAAAAAAACAGCACCAGCUAAUCCAAGCAGAGGCAAAAGCUACAAUUGUCAGCAUCAUCCGUCUUUAAUGCAAUUUUUCACAAUAAUAAGAAUCACAAACACAGUUUAAAACCCUGAUUGAAAACAGAACAUGAAAACCAUGAUUGAAUACUCUCUGAGAUGAAAAACGAAAUAAAGAAGCAAACCAAGCAAGUAAUGAAACACAAGAUUCAAGCAAAAAUUCAAAAUGUAUAGGCGUAGUUUUUCGCACCACAUUUUCUAAGCAAUGAAUGGUUCAAAAAAUAACAAAAAACAACAUUAGAAGUGAAGAGAAGAUGAUAAUUGAUCAAAAUGUGGUGUUAGCCUUCAUUUUAUCAUUCAUAACAAGAUCAGUAGUUUUCUUAUUUGAUUUAAGAAAUCUUGCAACAAAAAUUUGCUAGAUAAGGGAACAAACAAGUCAUAUUAACAACCUAAUAUGCACAAACAAUGAAUUCAUAACAAGAAAGGAUCACAUAGGUGUGCAUACUUGCUUAACCCAACUUGGAAAAGUGGCACUUAAAAGAAGUGUCUGAACUUUAGUAACAUCUUGUACCCUACCUGCAAAAAUCAAAUAAUAGCCCAUAAGCUUAAAUAUGGAGUAACUCAGCAGCAACAUCAUGCCGACUUUUAUAUGUACAAGAACGGAGCGGAGCGCUUCCCGGCCUGGAGCGGUUUUCUGCUUUCAAGGCUUUUUGGAGUGCGAAAAGACCUUUUAACACUUAAAAAUAUUUUAAAUUGGAAAAAUUAUUGUAGUCGUCAGUGUUUUCUCCUAUCAUUUGUAUUUUGUCACCUUUCUCCAUCGCGUUUCUUCUGUUUUCUCCUUUUCUAUUUUGUUUUCUUCUCUAUUCAUUGUUUUUCUAUACGUUUUCAAGUUGUGUUUUUUCCUUUCUUUUAAAAUAUAUUAAUUUUGGGAUGAAAAAUAAUAUAAGUAGAUUAUUCAUAUAAUUAGUCCAAAAAGUUAUCCCGUUAUCCGCUAUCCCGCUAUCCCAUUUUUGGGGUCGCCCGCUCCACUCCACUAUCCGGGAUUAAUAACUCUGAAAAGGAGCUAUGUCACAGCAGAAACAGCAUUUGCACACAAAGAAGCCGUGUCACAGCAGCACCAGAAGUUCAUAUUAAGACACUGCAGGACUUGAAAAAACUUUUUCAGCAUAACAUGUGUUGAUUAACACUUGAUAUAUAUUACGUGAGGUUGCUGUCUGCCAUGGUUGAAAGAUACCAGGAACUGCUACGCAGGGGGUAAGGUUAUAUAGAGAAAUAAGUUACAAAUUGUAAAUGCCUUUUUUUAUUAAGCAUAUGCAACUUUUAAUAAUAAUUUAAAUAUUAUAACUUGAAUAUAAAAACCACUUUACACAUAUAUUUACAAUAUCAGCUGAAAAUUCUUACCAAUCACGAAAAGCUCAAAGUGUGUCCCAGCUUCUUGAAAAGGUAAGACAACCAGAGCUUCUUGAAAUGGUAAGACAACCAGAGCUUCUUGAAAUGGUAAGACAACCAGAGCUUCUUGAAACUUUUUAUUCAUUAAUAAACUCUUAGUAGCUGUCAUCAUAAUCUAGAAUUGAAACAUAGACUUUAAAUCCAGUCAGCACCAAAUUGCUCAUUAGACAAAUAUCAACAUGCAUAUCCAAGAAAUAGAAACACGAGGUGAAGACCACAGAGCAAUCACCUCAAGCUUAUACCACAAACAUAUAAAGAAUUCUAAGCAACGAGAACCUAAAUCACAACAAACUCACAACAUCAAAUAUCGACUGUUUUUAGCAACAAAAUCUUCCAUACAAUUAAGAGAGCCAAAUAAGAUCAACCUAAAUUGUCCAAAGUAAUCACAAUCAACUCCUUCUUCAUAUACAAUCAAUAUACAUACCAAUAGCUAAUUUAAGAGAAACAUAAAGAACCUAAUCAAAAAAUUAAUUUUAAAGAUCGACAAUUCUACUCAAAUCACUGAGACAGAUAUAUUUUUUGAAAAACCAUUCAAAACAGCUUUUCAUUUAAAGCAGUUUACAGUUAGGUGUGAAAAAUAUACAUAAUAUGUGCUUAUAAAAUAUAAAAUAUUAAACCAAGCGCUUGGGCUCGAGUGGUAAACGAGCUCUUGCUAAGGGACGAACGUUCAGGGAAUACCGAGUUCUAUUCCUGGUGGGAACUCUGGAUUACUAGGGCCCCUUUCCUCUAGGAACCAGAGUGCGAAAGCAAAAAAACUGUCGUGUGAAAUGUGUAAAAAUCUAAAAAAACACACCUUGUGACAGUUGGAUUCCAACUGGCGCAAUACUAAGUGUCAAAAUAGCACAUUACAUUCAACUCACUUUUAACUACAAUCAAUUGUUGCAAAACCAAACAUCCACUAAAAGUUUUUGGAUCUUAAAAUUUGGUUUUGCUAGAUGUCCUUCAAGAUAUAAAUAUAUAUUUGGAUGGAGACUACAAUUAUUUACUUUUCUGAUGCUUUACCCAUUUUUCAUGUCCUAGUAAAUUCUAAAUCAUACAUAUGCAGUUCAAACAAAACUCUACCUGCCAAUCUGAACUACAGAUAUGCAUAAAAAAUUGAACAAUCCUUUCAACUGGGCCAACAAUCCUUUCAAUUGGACCAACAAUCAAAUGCUUCAAACAUUAGAUGCCUCAACAUCAGUUCCUUCUUGUUUUCCUGUUCUUUCAUUCACCUGACCGGUCAUUGAAAUAACUAAUUUCUCCGUUCUUGGUUCCAGCACCAUCCCCUUAGAUGUCAUUUCCCUGAAAUAACGCAUAGCAUCCUUUAUCCUCCCAUUUUCAAAGUGUCCAUGAAUCAUGAUGGUAUAUGAUCGUCGGUCCGGUCCCAAUCCAUUUCUCUCCAUUUCCUCCCAUGCUUUUCUCAAUCCAUCAAGAUCACCCCAUUUCAUAUACAACCUCAAUACCAAAUUGUAGACAUCAUCACUCAUUGCACAUCCAUUUCUCUCCAUCCUCUCCAAAAUUCCAAGAACUUCCUCCGGUGCCUUCAACGACUUUAGCAAAUAACUAUAAGUAACAGCAUUAGGCAAACAAUCUCCACUCGUCCUCUCCAUAUCCUCCACCAAUUCAUAAACUUUCUCCAUUCUCCUUAUCUUACAAAGAUGCUUAAUCAAUGAAUUAUAAGUAGCUACAUUCGGUAGACAACCUCGUACCUUCAUGUCCUGAAAAACCUGCAAUGCCUCAGGAACUCUCUUCUUGAAACAAAGAGCGUCAAUUACACAAUUGCAUAUCACAACAUCAGGUUUACAGCUCUCAUCUUUCCACAUUCCAUUGAACAACUUUAAAGCAGUUCCCAAUUUCCCUUUCUUUGUCAUUGCCUUGAUGAAAGUCGAAUAGGUGUAAAUAUCAGGUUUGCAUUUAGAUGCUAAGAUGUCUUUCCAUAACCUUUUUGAUUCAUGUGUAUUCCCUAAAACACACCAACCAUUGAGAAUCACGUUCCACGUCUUUAUAUCAUGACAAAACUGAAACCUAUUCAAAUUCCUAUGAAACAAAGUUUCAGCUUCUUCAACAUGCUUGUACCUGCACAGCCACAUCAAAAGAGUACGAAAAGCUUCUGAAUCAAGUUCAUUCCCCAAACCAAACUCUUCCCUUCUAUGGAAAAUGUCAAUUGCUUCCUCCACUUUAUGUGCAGCCACAAACCUACGAAUUAAAGUGGAAAAUAUUUCUUCAUUGAUGAGUUCUUUUCUUUGUGACAUUUCAUCGAGCAUUUGGUGUACCUCUUCAAAACGGUUCAUUUUGCCGAGGAUGUUGAUAAUCUCGUUGUACACGUGACAACCGGGUGGGUAGACGUUUGUUUUGGAGGCCCAUUUGAAGAAAUCGAGCGCGGGUUUCCAAUCGGAACGGUGUCGUUGCAAGACGUCGAGGACGAGGUCGUCGUUGGGGUGAAUUCCGGUGAGGUUGAGAGCUCGUUCGAUUUGCUCUGUAGGUUUGUCUCUACGAAAUUUAAGAAGGUUUUGAAUGAAUGAAGCUUGUGGUGAGUAGUGAUGCGAAUGAAGGAAUCGACGAUGGGAUACGAAGGUUGCGAGAAUGCGUUGGUUGUUUUCGCAGGAGAGUGUUCUUAUUGCUCGAAUGUUGAUAUGCAUGUUUGUUGCUGUUAAUCUGAUUUUGUUUGCAUUGGUUGAAUUGCAUGAUUUAUUGACUAUGCAUUUUUUGUGGUUUUCUUUUUCAAAAAACUGUAUUUUAGGUUUAAUUAAAAAAGUAAAAAGCUAAGGUGAAUUAGAUAAUACAUUUUAGGUUUAAUUAAAAAAAAUAAAAAGCUAAGGUGAAUUAGAUCAUACUGUGUGUAUUUAGACAUAUAAUCGAUCUCUAAAGUAUAAUUUUUUUUGAGUUUGUUAGAUUUUAUGUAACAAUCUUCAUCUUCUUUAUAACCUUAAGCACCAGACCUCAAGUUUGUUAAGAAAGAGAAAAUAAAUGUUAGCUACUUAUUUUGUGGUGGAACCAAUAAUAACAAACAAGAUUGUAACGAGAUCUUCUGAUAUGAUAAUGAUUGCUUUUGAUACGGUGGAAAAUGGUGAACCUGCAAGGUUAUCACUCCAAUUUUCAAGUCAGUAAAGUAUUUUUGAAACAAUUCAAACUAAAAGUGAAAAAAAGAAACCUGAAAAUCGGCGUGUGUGGAGCUUAUAUAAGAUGAGUGGUUAAACCGCUCUCAAUUUAACUCGACACAUUAUGCGGAUCAUCACUCAAUUGGAUUUGAUAGUGUGAGACAGACCGAAUGUCAAAAUCGCUUGUUUUGCGUUUGGUUGAGGUAUCAUAUAUUCCUACUUAUUGCUUGUGUCUUUCGUAUUAAGGCCUUUGUCCACACAUUCCAGAACACUUGUCUCCCAAGUCCUAGUUACUACUUGUUCAAGUGAGGGUUGUGUAGUUCGGGUUACCAUUGUCGUCCACUAGGUUUUCUAAUUUGUCUCCUGCAAGAGGAAGUGGGUGUGCUUAGAGGGGAAGUCAGACACAUUAGGAACGUGGGAGUUGAAUGCUCCGGUGUGUAUCAUUGGAUAAGCUCGAUGCGUGGUUCCAUGUCAUAUAAUGAUGAUGGCUCUCUUUUUUAGGGUACUCGAGUGUUUGAGUGUAUCGAGGCGAGAUCAUGUCUGUUGGUGCAAAGGUGGAGUUUUUUGGUGUUAUUCAACAUUGAUCGUGUGACACUUAUAUCAAGAUUAUAUAUAUGGGACUGAAGGGUUAGUUUCCCCCUUUUUCGCCACUCUUGAAGUCAGGAAUUCUUCUUCAUUUUUUUGCAUUUAUUUUAGUCUCUGCCAACACUUUAUGUUAAUUGUUGUUUUGGCAUUUUUCUGGUGUCCUUCUAGUGGCUUUAUUUACAUAGUUUAUCAAAAUCACUUCUUUCGAUGUAACAAUUAAAUUAUUUUUCUCUUAUGUAUUUGUUUACGUUUUACUAGACUUUUUUGUGAAGAUAGUUAUGGAAGAUUAGAAGGAAAGAAUUAUGGUUGGAGACAAGAGGAUGGUUGUUAGCCUCGAUCUCAAGAAGUUUGCUAGAGGUUUCAUUUUUCUUUUUUUUACCUAUGAUAAACCGAACUAAUGUGGAGACCACUAUAAAAACAAGAGAGGUGCCAUAUUUUUUAUGGGUUGUGUAAGAGCUUUCUUCCUUUUCGUUUCCGUUUCAACAUGGAUGUCUGACUUAUUGGUUUGUUGCUUAUUUGUAGAUAAGAUGAAGUGUCCAAAACAAUGUUUUAGAUGAAGAAGACGCCUAUAGUCAUACACUCACCUUCAGAGGUCGUUGUUUUUCCGAUCCUGGGUAGAGUUUAAACUCCAGGUAGCAGUGUUGAACUGACCACCUUUAUUCUUUCUUCCCCUACUUAAACAGAGGCACAUAACCCUCAUACUCAGGUUGUAGUGGAUAAUAUCCUUCUAUAAUCAUUGG